rnacentral:rRNA from 1 species
UGGGGAAUAUUGCACAAUGGGGGAAACCCUGAUGCAGCGACGCCGCGUGGAGGAAGAAGGUCUUCGGAUUGUAAACUCCUGUUGUUGAGGAAGAUAAUGACGGUACUCAACAAGGAAGUGACGGCUAACUACGUGCCAGCAGCCGCGGUAAAACGUAGGUCACAAGCGUUGUCCGGAAUUACUGGGUGUAAAGGGAGCGCAGGCGGGAGAACAAGUUGGAAGUGAAAUCCAUGGGCUUCAACCCAUGAACUGCUUUCAAAACUGUUUUUCUUGAGUAGUGCAGAGGUAGGCGGAAUUCCCGGUGUAGCGGUGGAAUGCGUAGAUAUCGGGAGGAACACCAGUGGCGAAGGCGGCCUACUGGGCACCAACUGACGCUGAGGCUCGAAAGUGUGGGUAGC